rnacentral:misc_RNA from 1 species
GUGAAUCAUCGAAUCUUUGAACGCACCUUGCGCCCCUUGGAUAUUCUGAAGGGCAUGCCUGUUUGAGUACCGUGAACACCUCAACUCUCAUGGCCUUGCCGUGAUGAGCUUGGACUUUGGGGGCUUUGCUGGCCUUGAUGUCGGCUCCUCUCAAACGGAUCAGCUUGCCAGUGUUUGGUGGCGUUGCAGGUGUGAUAACUAUCUACGCUUGCGGCUGUCUGCCAGGUAACCUUCAGUGAUGAGGGUUCACUGGAGCUUAUAAAUGUCCUUCCCCAGCGAGGACAGCUUUGAACGUUCGAUCUCAAAUCAGGUAGGACUACCCGCUGAACUUAAGCAUAUCAAUAAGCGGAGGA